rnacentral:rRNA from 1 species
UACGUAGGUGGCAAGCGUUGUCCGGAAUUAUUGGGCGUAAAGCGCGCGUAGGCGGUCCUUUAAGUCUGAUGUGAAAGCCCACGGCUCAACCGUGGAGGGUCAUUGGAAACUGGGGGACUUGAGUGCAGGAGAGAAGAGUGGAAUUCCACGUGUAGCGGUGAAAUGCGUAGAGAUGUGGAGGAACACCCGUGGCGAAGGCGGCUCUCUGGGACGGUACUGACGCUGAGACGCGAAAGCGUGGGGAGCAAACAGG